AUUGGGAUGGCCGAAAAAUAGGCAAUAAACUGUAAAUUUAUUUAUGAAAAGCUAUUUCUC
rnacentral:tRNA from 1 species